CAACGUGGGGUAACCUGCCCAAGAGAUCGGGAUAACACCUGGAAACAGAUGCUAAUACCGGAUAACAACAGAUGAUGCCUAUCAACUGUUUAAAAGAUGGUUCUGCUAUCACUCUUGGAUGGACCUGCGGUGCAUUAGCUAGUUGGUAGGGUAACGGCCUACCAAGGCGAUGAUGCAUAGCCGAGUUGAGAGACUUAUCGGCCACAUUUGGGACUGAGACACGGCCCAAACUCCUACGGGAGGCAGCAGCC
rnacentral:rRNA from 1 species